rnacentral:rRNA from 1 species
CACCGCGGUUAUACGGGAAGGCCCAAGUUGACGAAGCCCGGCGUAAAGCGUGGUUAAGAGUACAUCAAACUAAAGCCGAAGACUAUCAAGGCUGUCGCACGCAUGUCGAGAGCGCGAAGAACCUUUACGAAAGUAGCUUUAAUCAUCUGAACCCACGAAAGCUAAGGUA